rnacentral:rRNA from 1 species
CGAUAACGAACGAGACUCUGGCAUGCUAACUAGUUACGCGACCCCCGAGCGGUCGGCGUCCCCCAACUUCUUAGAGGGACAAGUGGCGUUCAGCCACCCGAGAUUGAGCAAUAACAGGUCUGUGAUGCCCUUAGAUGUCCGGGGCUGCACGCGCGCUACACUGACUGGCUCAGCGUGUGCCUACCCUACGCCGGCAGGCGCGGGUAACCCGUUGAACCCCAUUCGUGAUGGGGAUCGGGGAUUGCAAUUAUUCCCCAUGAACGAGGAAUUCCCAGUAAGUGCGGGUCAUAAGCUUGCGUUGAUUAAGUCCCUGCCCUUUGUACACACCGCCCGUCGCUACUACCGAUUGGAUGGUUUAGUGAGGCCCUCGGAUCGGCCCCGCCGGGGUCGGCCCACGGCCCUGGCGGAGCGCUGAGAAGACGGUCGAACUUGACUAUCUAGAGGAAGUAAAAGUCGUAACAAGGUUUCCUA